rnacentral:rRNA from 1 species
GAUGAACGCUGGCGGCGUGCCUAAUACAUGCAAGUCGAGCGAAGCGGCGACGGGUGAGUAACACGUGGAUAACCUCCUAUAAGAUUGGGAUAACUUGGGGAAACCGGAGCUAAACCGGAUACUUAUAGAUGGCUCCUCGCUGCAUUAGCUAGUUGGUAAGGUAACGGCUUACCAAGGCAACGAUGCAUAGCCGACCGGAGAGGAGGAGCAGCCACACUGGAACGGAGACGCGGUCCAGACUCAUACGGUAGGCAGCAGUGGAGAAUCGUCCGCAAUGGACUAAAGCCUGACGUAGCAACGCCGCGUGGGUGAAGGAGGUCAUCGGAUCGGAAAACUCUGUUAUUAUGGAAGCGGUACCUAAUCAGAAAGCCACGGCUAACUACGUGCCAGCAGCCGCGGUAAUAC